GAUCUGCUUCCGGGGUAAAAUACGCAAUUUAAAAGCGCAGAAACCAGUGAGACGGUCAUUUUGUGCUGGUGUCUGCGUGAGAUAGGGAGCCAUGCCUACAAAAGGCCUUUCUUACCAAGGAACAGCACUGUGGUGCCUGGUCCAUGCAGUCAAUGUCAUGGCUCCGAUGCCAGAAGUGGCUCUUUGAAUAAACUCCUUGCCUGGUGCUUUGUGUCUCCUGUGUGGAGUGAUGGAUCACCCUGCUUCCCUGCUGAUGGUGGCUGCCGUUUUUUGAUCGAUGCAGCAUGCAAGUCCUGGGUGCCCUCUGCUUCAGAAUCGACAGGGAGCUCAGUCUGCAAAUGGCUGUGGCUGAUGCCAACUUGCUGUGGUGGAGGGGGUUUGUCCCCGUAAUCCUAGUGAGGGGCUGGAAAUAAGGCAAUUCAAAUGCCUAUGAAGGACAUGCACUUGGAUGUCCCACAACAGGGAUGUGGGACAAUAGAGGUUGGGCCUUGGAUGAGCCAUGAAGUUCUGGUGCAUUGUGGAUCGAGCGGCAGCCAAAGACGGGGAGGUGGCCUUGCUGGACCUCCCCUCCCGGUUACUGAAACUGCCUUUAGGGACAUGGGUGGCUGAGCAUCCUGGGUGAUCAGCUCUUCUGUGAAAUGGAGUCUGCUGUUAAUUCAUUACAACAGUGCAUAUGCAGAAGCAGUCUUCGGAUUCGAGCACUUAAGGUGUAAUUUGACGACAAAUAAAAUUCCCUUUUUAAAACAA